GCCCGGCUCGCAGCCCUCCGGUCCCCGCUGCCUAACCGCAGCAACCGCUCACCCGUGCUGCGCCUCCUCUCCCACCUCCCAGCCCUGCGGAACGCUGCACAGCUGAGAUGAGUGGAUGUGCUGGCUGGGAGGAUCCCUUGCCUGCAAUACCUGGUGGAAGGACUUGCCAUGGGACAUUGCCAUGAAUCUCAUGUUGGUCAUAAGAUGAUUCAGGAAAGCUCAGAGUUUCCCAAAGACCAAAAUGAUUGUACACAGGGCAGGACCUGACAUCUCGGGCUAAUGAAGGACGGUCAGUCGCAUUUUGUCCAUCACCUCCGAUGGACUUCAGGGAAGCCUCGGGAGCACUGUGAAUUCUUAGAGGAGCUGUGCAAAAACCGCGCUUAAGCUUUAACUCCACCUUAGAGUUCCCAUCCAGGGAAGGGAGCCAAAGAUAACUGCCUCUUCCAAAGAAAGAUCUUCUGGAGUCUACAUCACCCCUGAUGUUUUGAAAUUUCCAGUGGACCACAUCAGUCAUGGUGGAGUGAGAAGCAGCAUUCACGCUCAACCUUUCCUCAAGAGGUACAGCACCCUGUGUUGCGGAUACCAUUUGUUUCAAAAAUCCCACAUAUGUUA